GUGCCAGCAGCCGCGGUAAUACAGAGGGUGCGAGCGUUAAUCGGAAUUACUGGGCGUAAAGCGCACGUAGACGGUUUUGUAAGUCAGAUGUGAAAUCCCUGGGCUCAACCUGGGAACUGCAUUUGAGACUGCAAGGCUAGAGUAUGGAAGAGGGAAGUGGAAUUUCCGGUGUAGCGGUGAAAUGCGUAGAUAUCGGAAGGAACACCAGUGGCGAAAGCGACUUCCUGGUCCAAUACUGACGUUCAGGUGCGAAAGCGUGGGGAGCAAACAGGAUUAGAAACCCCUGUAGUCCAAU
rnacentral:rRNA from 1 species